CCUACUUUGUUGGCCUAAUUACCGUUAACGUCAGUGUUGGUGGUUAGUCAAAAACGUUCAGUGCUGUAACUAGCUAUACUUGCAUAAUUAUGUGGUUUUCAAAGAAAAGUGUGAUCUAAUCAUUUUAGACUGCACUCCUUUGGAUGAAGAAGGCUACCCGUGUAUACAUGUGUGAACCAUUUCUUGUGUUGGAAAAACAGGAGACCUGAAGAGCUCUUGAUGCUUUUGGUUUGCCUCAUCCAUUAUGUCAGCAAAGAACAGGAGUGGGCAGGAAACAUGCGCUGUUGAAAACAUGGCCAACCAACUGGAGCACCCACAAGGCUCUUGUGAAGGAAGUCCACAAGCCUUUGUGCUUCAGGAUGGAUGGAAAGAACUCUUUGAUCAACCCCCACAGAGAGCUGAGGUGGCUAUCUUUUGGAGACACCCCCGGCUGGUAGUGCUGCUGAAACUGGUGGAGGCAACAAUGAAGCGGCAACAGAAAGAGAAGGCAGGUGGCAAAGGUUGCUGCUAUUGAAAAAUACUUUGAGAGUGAGUGUGUGUGCAUGUUGUAGGUCAUGGUACAUGGUACAAAAAUACAGAAUUUAAAGCACUAGCACAACACUUAACUCACAACCCACAACUACUGACAAUGGAAUUACUCUUUUAGAAUGAGUGAGGGAGAGAGAUAAAAUGUUUAAUGUUAAUUUAGAAUAAUUUAUUUCUUUGAAUCAUUAUACAGUUUUAAAAUGUUUAAUUGUUUGUGUUUUUGUAUAUGAAAGAUGUCGAUUGUUGUAGAUAAAAGUAGCUUGUAUAUUUUAACUUGUUUAAUUUCUAAAGUGUAUAUAUGUAAAAGCUUGUAUAAUUUUUAAAUGUUUGUUUUAUUUGCAAGGUUGUGUUUGUCAAACUUGUUAAUAAAAGUAGCUUGUGCUUUUAAUUACUAGUUCUGGAUUUGUGUUUAUUUUCAAGUACUUUUGGUAGUUAAUGGGCCACAUGUGGCCCGGGGACCCAGCCGACAUUCAGCCAACACUCAGUCAGAUCAGUUUUAUAGUGC